rnacentral:lncRNA from 12 species
UUCCAUUAGCUUGCUUUGGAUUCAUGGGAAUUCUGAACAGAGACGUGAGAAUGACUUCAAUUUGAGGUAUCUGUUAAAUGCAGCAACAUGACAUCACAAGGAUUGUUUUGGAGUCUUCUGGAUAUGAGAGAUAUUAAAAAAGUGAAAUAGUAGGACUGAAGUAUGAGGGGAGAAAUAGAGAAAACCAUGGUUUUCAUACUCUCUUUUUGGAGAAUAAUUUAUUUGUUGGUUUGUUUGUCAGAAAUGGGAUUAUUUGAAGAGACCAACACAGGGAGGAAUGGACUGAGAAAUGAAUAG